rnacentral:rRNA from 1 species
GUAGGUGGCAAGCGUUGUCCGGAAUUAUUGGGCGUAAAGCGCGCGCAGGCGGUCCUUUAAGUCUGAUGUGAAAGCCCACGGCUCAACCGUGGAGGGUCAUUGGAAACUGGGGGACUUGAGUACAGAAGAGGAAAGCGGAAUUCCAAGUGUAGCGGUGAAAUGCGUAGAGAUUUGGAGGAACACCAGUGGCGAAGGCGGCUUUCUGGUCUGUAACUGACGCUGAGGCGCGAAAGCGUGGGGAGCAAACAGGGAUUAGAUACCCGGGUAGUCCACGCCGUAAACGAUGAGUGCUAAGUGUUAGGGGGUUUCCCGCCCCCUUAGUGCUGCAGCUAACGCAUUAAGCACUCCGCCUGGGGAGUACGGCCGCAAGGCUG